rnacentral:rRNA from 1 species
CCCUAGUACCGGCGAGUGAAGCGGCAACAGCUCAAAUUUGAAAUCUGGCCCUUGGGUCCGAAUUGUAAUUUGUAGAGGAUGCUUUUGGUGCGGUGCCUUCCGAGUUCCCUGGAACGGGACGCCAUAGAGGGUGAGAGCCCCGUCUGGUUGGACACCAAUCCUCUGUAAAGCUCCUUCGACGAGUCGAGUAGUUUGGGAAUGCUGCUCUAAAUGGGAGGUAUAUGUCUUCUAAAGCUAAAUACCGGCCAGAGACCGAUAGCGCACAAGUAGAGUGAUCGAAAGAUGAAAAGCACUUUGAAAAGAGGGUUAAAUAGUACGUGAAAUUGUUGAAAGGGAAGCGCUUGUGACCAGACUUGAGCCCGGUUAAUCAUCCAGCCUUCUGGCUGGUGCACUUGGCCGGCUCAGGCCAGCAUCAGUUCGGCGCGGGGGAUAAAGACUUCGGGAAUGUGGCUCCUCCGGGAGUGUUAUAGCCCGUUGUGUAAUACCCUGUACUGGACUGAGGUUCGCGCAUCUGCAAGGAUGCUGGCGUAAUGGUCAUCAGCGACCCGUCUUGAAACACGGACCAAGGAGUCGUCUUCGUAUGCGAGUGUUCGGGUGUCAAACCCCUACGCGUAAUGAAAGUGAACGCAGGUGAGAGCUUCGGCGCAUCAUCGACCGAUCCUGAUGUUCUCGGAUGGAUUUGAGUAAGAGCAUACGGAGCCGGACCCGAAAGNAGGUGAACUAUGCCUGUAUAGGGUGAAGCCAGAGGAAACUCUGGUGGAGGCUCGCAGCGGUUCUGACGUGCAAAUCGAUCGUCAAAUAUGGGCAUGGGGGCGAAAGACUAAUCGAACCU